UUGCAGUAAGUAAUUUCAAAUGUUUCUCAUUAUCCUUUGCAGGGAAGGACGUGGAGAAGCAGCAAAAAGCACAUAGGAAAGGAUGAUUUUUCUCCUCUUUUUUCUAGCUCUCGGGACAUUUUUCAUCAGCAAAGCACUUCAGAAAUGAUGCCAAAGUUGCAUUUCUUACAUGAAGCAGAGCUCUCUAAACAAGUGGAAGCACACCAAAGUAUGGCCUCACAUUCCAAACUAUGGUGUGCGUGCAUGACGUGUUCGUGCAAACCGUCACCAUGGAUUCUCUCCUUCAAGAUAAUCUACUCUUGUGCUUUGAUGCAGCAGUGUAUAGACUUUGUAACUUUUAACCUCAUGUCGCCUUUGUUUUAUUUCAAUGCAUCUUCAUUUUCUCAUCUUGCUGCUGCUAAUUUCCUAAUUUGUUUUUGUUUUAUUUCAUUGUAUACACCACGAAUUGCUCAUCUUGCUACUGAGACAAACCUACAAGCUACAACACAAGGGAAAAAAAGAGGUGCAUUGCAUUUUCUAUUGUUUCUAGCAUUUCCUUAUUUAUCAGUGCAGAUCAUAUCUUGUUUUGGACAGGUUGAGAGGUAACAUCCCUACUCAUUCCUCAAGUAAAAAGAAUUAGAGCUCUUUAUUCUGUAUGUUAUACUCCCUCCGUUUCCAAAUAUAAAACUUUUUAGAUAUUUUAAUACAGACUACAUACAGAUGUAUAUAGACGUAUUUUAGAGUGUAGGUUCACUCAUUUUGCUCCGUAUGUAGUCCGCAUUGGAAUCUCUAAAAAAGCUUAAAUUUAGGAACGGAGGGAGUACAUGCCUUUAUUCUUUAUUUCAAUCAGUAUUUGGGAUGGGAGCACGCAGUUCUGUAGUUACUAGAGUCCAAUUAUUCAUGUGUUCUUUAUGGGACCAAAUAACACACCUUGGCCUACAGACCUGGCCAUUUUACAGCCAUCCUUUCAAAAAGGCUCAACUGAUCUGCUGUCAGAAAAGCCUUUCCGCAACAAUAAAAACCCUUUUUCCCCUCACAUCCUAUGUGUCUGCUGAGUUACUUUCAGAUUGGUGCUGACCUAUGAUGAACCGAGAGCUAAGCAGAUUAGUUAUAGUUUGGUCUUUGUUUGAAUAGGUAAUAGGAAAUUAUUUGAAAUGUUUCUAUAUUCUUGGUAAAUCAUAUACUUGAAUCGUAUAUGAUUGGCCUUUCGUUUGAUGGCUGAUGUGUUCUUGACUGAAAGUUUUGAAGCUGCGCGAUGAGAGUAUAGGUUGCUCCGAUGAGGGCAAUCUGAGCAGCAAAAAGAAAUACAUAAUUGUAGAAGGGCAGAUGUUGUUGAUGACACCGUAUUUGAUGAUGCUGUUGAUGAUAGUAUAAACUCUUUAGUGGAGGGCAUCAUGAAAGAGUGUUCCGAAGGAAGUAACAAUGAAGGGGAUGAGGCUGCACCUCACGACUUUAAGAACUGCAAUAAUACAAGCACAUUGGAUGAGCACACCAACAUAGAUCAGCUAGAAUCUAGUGAGAAAGCAAAACACAUGGUACUACUUUUAUAGCCAAGCUCAUCAGAUCCAAACAGCAAACAAUAAGAAUGGAUUUGGUCAGCUUUUGGCCAGGCUGCAAGUCCUGAAAAGACGUGAAGAUACCAAUAGCAGCAUCGUGAAUUGGGGGCAAGAUGUUUUCCGUUCCGAUGAUUGGGUGUGUCUCUUUGAAAGAAAAAAAUAACCUGGCCCUGUUGCGCGUGAGGAGGUAAUUCAGAAGACUGAUUUGCGUGAUGAUGUCGAAGGUUGAUUUACCUGGUGAUGCUGGGUGCAGAGCCCUAUCUGAUGAAGCUGGUAGCAGAACCGCAAGCCAGUACGUCAGUACAGUGCUUGAAGAGUCUGAUGAAACCUGCAAAUGUGAUUUGCAUGAGAAGCAGUUAAGCCACUCACCGUCAGAAUGGGAGCAUGUACUGAGGGAAGACCUUUUCCUCCCAGGAAACCCAUUGAAGUGAAAGGCAUCUGCUCUCCCCUGGGUUUAGUUCGAAAAUCAUGUUCUUAACUUCAAUGUGUGCAGACCGCGACAUAAGCAGCAGGAUCAAGCGUCGUAGUAGCUAGCCGGUGCCUAAACCUGAAACUUUAAGGAAAGAGAAUAUAAUCUCAGCUCAUGCCUCAUACUGAGCUGUUUGUAAUAUAUGCUGCCUGCAGUAUCUGUUUCUAUGCCUGAAAGGAUCAUGCACAGUACUUGAACACUUGUCAUAACAUGCGAUCUGAUCGCUAAUGCUUGCAUACGUA